AGAAAGCAAAUUUCAUCUUGAAAAGUCUUUCCCUUAACUAUAGCAGACCCACUGCAGGGAUGAAUGUCAUCUUUAAAGAGGAAGAAAAAUUAUGGGAGGAAUUAUGUAGUACUGCAGGUUUCCAGUGUGGUGAAUUUAAGAGACAAGUGUGGUGACAGACUUAUCAGAAACACUGGCUGAAAUGAAGCUGUUGAUCCAAACAUCCUCAUCGCCCUUUAUCCUAAAGCCAAAGCAAAAAUGAGACAUCCCAGUGGGUGUGGGCCAUGAGCUGAAGUGUUUGUCCCUUCAAACAGCUGUCCUGCCUUUGCUUCGUUUGAUGCUGUGAAGUUCAUCAAUAUUCAUCAGGACUGGAGAGACAGAGAGACUAAUUUUCAGCUGAGGCAGCUGGGUGACUCGCUGUCAGCACCGACACCAGCAGCAAGGCCAGAUUCUUUGGCUUUUGGUGUCUCCACCAUCCUCCAGCAGGAAACCUGCGCUGCCACUGCAGUGCUGCCAGCUGGGGGAGGUCUGCUAAGGACUACGGGGAUUCAGGCAUGACUCCCAUGCUCAUCCUAGCAACUCCAGAUAAGAGCACAGGAAAAUCAAAGCAAGCUUGCAAGGUGAUGGCCAGAAGCUUUAAAGGGUAUGCUGGUACGUCUGGCUUGUUGGUAGGGGAAAGCAUCUACAGUUCUUUCAAGAACUUUUUGUUUUUCCAAAAUGCUGGUCUUAGCAGGCCAAUUCAUAUUUUUCCUGCUCUAUGAAGUACCCUCCUGAUAAGUAUAAAUAAUGUUACAUAUGCACUUGUAUUAGAAUUUGCUAAAGUUAUUUGCCUGGAAUGUGCAUGGGGGUCUUAGCAUAACUGC